GCCGGGAUGGUGAAAUUGGCAAACGCGCUAGGUUCAGGGCUUAGUGCUCGAAAGAGCUUGCGGGUUCGACUCCCGCUCCCGGCACCA
rnacentral:tRNA from 1 species